AUUGCUGGGAAUGGAGUACCUUUACAGCUAGACUGGCAAAACACUGACUCCAGUACUCCAGAACCCAGAGGAGGAAGACAGGCUGGUGGAGGAAGUUGAUGACCAGGACCUGCAACAUGAGGGGUUUAAGGAAGAGAUCAUAGAGGACAUCACAGUUCCAGUGCUGUAUGAGGAUGACCCCUGCUGUGAUCUCCAAAACAGCCCCUCCUCUUUGCCUCUGCCUCGGCCCCCAGUAUCACUGGCUGAACCAUCCACAUCAUCUGGUGGAGAAGGACAGCAUCUUGCCCCUGCCCCUUCAGUGCUGUCACAGCCAUCGGACACUGGAAGCAGUCUCUCCGAUGAGGCUCAGAGAGCAGUCAUUGGAGCCAAAACAUCACUGGGUGGGAUAAGGUCCAGUUUAAGGCACAGAAAACCAUCCAGAGUCACACCGGGUGUGGAGAGUGUGAAACGGUGUCUGAUUGGACAUCCUGGGAGUCCAGCACUGUGGCCCAGCACCAUCUGCUUUGUUGAGGCCAUUUGUAUGAAGCUGUGUGCUUUACACAAGUCGCCGACCAAGAAGGCUAGAGUUUGCACCCCCAGGUGGUCUAAAAUCCUCUCGGAUUACCACCACAUUUAGGACACUCAUUCAGUGUGAAAAUAGUGAACAGUGGCAGAAGAAUCAGGAAAUGAGUGUCCUCACUCAGGUACUGACUCCACCUGAGCCAAUUGCUAUGGCUGAUACGCAGCAUUCUCCGCUGAGAGAAAAAUUGGAUGAAGCACCAUCGACAUCAGGCCCAAAACAUCAAUUUAUCCUUCCCCCAAAUGAGAAGGACAGGCUCCUCUUCUGGGACCAGGUCGACAGCCCACUGCUGCCACCAGGGAGUGCCCUAUCGCACCUGCCCCCAUAGCAUCAGGAGUUGUGCAGCCCGUUUCAGCUCCUGGGUCGUUGUUAGGCACACUAGUCCUUAACCCAGACAAGACUGCAUCAAUGGUCAUCCGAUGCAGGACCAGCUUCACCUGUUUCUGCCUCUGCUGCUCCUGUGUCCUGUUACACACACAGAAAAAGGCGCCAGCGGGCAAUAAAUAAUAUCUUUCCUUUAUACAUUUUGUAUAUAUUACAUGGACCCCCUCUUUCAUAUUGUCCUAUAUAUAUAUAUAUAU